CGGGUGAGUAACGCGUAGGUGACCUGCCCUUUUGCGGGGGAUAACCAGGAGAAAUUCUGGCUAAUACCGCAUACGCAAAGCAAAUGUGAAAGUAGCUUUGGAAAGACUGCCUCUACUUGUAAGCAGUCACAGAAGGAUGGGCUUGCGUGACAUUAGCUAGUUGGUGGGGUAAUGGCCUACCAAGGCGAUUAUGUCUAGCUGGUUUGAGAGAAUGGCCAGCCACACUGGAACUGAGACACGGUCCAGACUCC
rnacentral:rRNA from 1 species